CCUACGGGGGGCAGCAGUCGAGAAUCAUUCACAAUGGGGGAAACCCUGAUGGUGCGACGCCGCGUGGGGGACUGAAGGUCUUCGGAUUGUAAACCCCUGUCAUGUGGGAGCAAAUUAAAAAGCUAGUACCACACGAGGAAGAGACGGCUAAAUAUGUGCCAGCAGCCGCGGUAAUACAGAGGUCUCAAGAGGUGUUCGGAAUCACUGGGCGUAAAGCGUGCGUAGGCUGUUUCGUAAGUCGUGUGUGAAAGGCGCGGGCUCAACCCGCGGACGGCACAUGAUACUGCGAGACUAGAGUAAUGGAGGGGGAACCGGAAUUCUCGGUGUAGCAGUGAAAUGCGUAGAUAUCGAGAGGAACACUCGUGGCGAAGGCGGGUUCCUGGACAUUAACUGACGCUGAGGCACGAAGGCCAGGGGAGCGAAAGGGAUUAGAUACCCCUGUAGUC
rnacentral:rRNA from 1 species